UCAAGUAAUUAAGUGCAUGUGGUGGAUGCCUUGGCAGUCAGAGGCGAUGAAAGACGUGAUAGCCUGCGAAAAGCUCCGGGGAGGCGGCAAAUAUCCUUUGAUCCGGAGAUGUCUGAAUGGGGGAACCCACCUACUUUAAGGUAGGUAUUGCAACAUGAAUACAUAGUGUUGCAAGGCGAACGAGGGGAAGUGAAACAUCUCAGUACCCUUAGGAAAAGAAAUCAAUUGAGAUUCCCUCAGUAGCGGCGAGCGAACGGGGAUCAGCCCAUUAAGUUAUGUGUGUUUUAGUGGAACGCUCUGGGAAGUGCGAACGUAGAGGGUGAUAUUCCCGUACACGAAAGGGCACACAUAAUGAUGACGAGUAGGGCGAGGCACGUGAAACCUUGUCUGAAUAUGGGGGACCAUCCUCCAAGGCUAAAUACUCCUGACUGACCGAUAGUGAACCAGUACCGUGAGGGAAAGGCGAAAAGAACCCCUGUGAGGGGAGUGAAAUAGAUCCUGAAACCGCAUGCAUACAAGCAGUGGGAGCACCUUCGUGGUGUGACUGCGUACCUUUUGUAUAAUGGGUCAGCGACUUAUAUUCAGUAGCGAGGUUAACCGUAUAGGGGAGCCGUAGAGAAAUCGAGUCUUAAUAGGGCGUUUAGUUGCUGGGUAUAGACCCGAAACCAGGCGAUCUAUCCAUGAGCAGGUUGAAGGUUGGGUAACACUAACUGGAGGACCGAACCCACUGUCGUUGAAAAGCCAGGGGAUGACUUGUGGAUAGGGGUGAAAGGCUAAUCAAGCCUGGUGAUAGCUGGUUCUCCCCGAAAGCUAUUUAGGUAGCGCCUCGGACGAAUACCAUAGGGGGUAGAGCACUGUUUCGGCUAGGGGGUCAUCCCGACUUACCAAACCGAUGCAAACUCCGAAUACCUAUGAGUACUAUCCGGGAGACAGACUGCGGGUGCUAACGUCCGUAGUCAAGAGGAAAACAAUCCAGACCGCCAGCUAAGGCCCCAAAAUCAUAGUUAAGUGGGAAACGAUGUGGGAAGGCAUAGACAGCUAGGAGGUUGGCUUAGAAGCAGCCACCCUUUAAAGAAAGCGUAAUAGCUCACUAGUCGAGUCGGCCUGCGCGGAAGAUGUAACGGGGCUAAAACUAUGUGCCGAAGCUGCGGAUGUAUACUUUGUAUACGUGGUAGGGGAGCGUUCUGUAAGCCGAUGAAGGUGUGUUGAGAAGCAUGCUGGAGGUAUCAGAAGUGCGUAAUGCUGACGUGAGUAACGACAAAACGGGUGAAAAACCCGUUCGCCGAAAGACCAAGGGUUCCAGUCCAACGUUAAUCGGGGCUGGGUGAGUCGACCCCUAAGGCGAGGCCGAAAGGCGUAGUCGAUGGGAAAAUGGUUAAUAUUCCAUUACUUCUGUGUAAUGCGAUGAGAGGACGGAGAAGGCUAAAUCAGCCUGGCGUUGGUUGUCCAGGUGAAAGGAUGUAGGCAUGUAUCUUAGGCAAAUCCGGGGUACUCUAUGCUGAGAUCUGAUAGCAAGCUGUACUUGUACAGCGAAGUGGUUGAUGCCAUGCUUCCAGGAAAAGUCUCUAAGCUUCAGUUACACAGGAAUCGUACCCGAAACCGACACAGGUGGUCAGGUCGAGUAGACCAAGGCGCUUGAGAGAACUCUGCUGAAGGAACUAGGCAAAAUGGUACCGUAACUUCGGGAGAAGGUACGCUGUUGUUGGUGAUGGAACUCGCUUCCUGAGCUGACGACAGCCGCAGAAACCAGGCCGCUGCAACUGUUUAUUAAAAACAUAGCACUCUGCAAACACGAAAGUGGACGUAUAGGGUGUGAUGCCUGCCCGGUGCUGGAAGGUUAAUUGAUGGGGUUAGCGUAAGCGAAGCUCUUGAUCGAAGCCCCAGUAAACGGCGGCCGUAACUAUAACGGUCCUAAGGUAGCGAAAUUCCUUGUCGGGUAAGUUCCGACCUGCACGAAUGGCAUAAUGAUGGCGGCGCUGUCUCCAGCAGAGGCUCAGUGAAAUCGAAAUCGCUGUGAAGAUGCAGUGUACCCGCGGCUAGACGGAAAGACCCCGUGAACCUUUACUGCAGCUUGACACUGAACUUUGACCUUACUUGUGUAGGAUAGGUGGGAGGCUUUGAAGCUGGAACGCUAGUUCCAGUGGAGCCGUCCUUGAAAUACCACCCUGGUAAUGUUGAGGUUCUAACUCUGUCCCGUGAUCCGGGACGAGGACCGUGUCUGGUGGGUAGUUUGACUGGGGCGGUCUCCUCCUAAAGAGUAACGGAGGAGUACGAAGGUGCGCUCAGCGUGGUCGGAAAUCACGCGUAGAGUAUAAAGGCAAAAGCGCGCUUAACUGCGAGACCCACAAGUCGAGCAGGUACGAAAGUAGGUCUUAGUGAUCCGGUGGUUCUGUAUGGAAGGGCCAUCGCUCAACGGAUAAAAGGUACUCUGGGGAUAACAGGCUGAUACCGCCCAAGAGUUCAUAUCGACGGCGGUGUUUGGCACCUCGAUGUCGGCUCAUCUCAUCCUGGGGCUGAAGCAGGUCCCAAGGGUAUGGCUGUUCGCCAUUUAAAGAGGUACGCGAGCUGGGUUUAGAACGUCGUGAGACAGUUCGGUCCCUAUCUACCGUGGGCGCUGGAAAUUUGAGAGGAUCUGCUCCUAGUACGAGAGGACCAGAGUGGACGAACCUCUGGUGUACCGGUUGUGACGCCAGUCGCAUCGCCGGGUAGCUAUGUUCGGAAGGGAUAACCGCUGAAAGCAUCUAAGCGGGAAGCCUACCUCAAGAUAAGAUUUCCCUAGGACUUUAUGUCCUCUAAAGAGCCGUUCGAGACUAGGACGUUGAUAGGUUGGAUGUGGAAGCAUAGUGAUAUGUGAAGCUGACCAAUACUAAUUGCUCGUGAGGCUUGACUAU
rnacentral:rRNA from 1 species